AUCGCUUCUCGGCUCUUUGAGCUAAGAUCAAGUGUAGUAUCUGUUCUUCUCAGUUAAUACCUGGGAC
rfam:Ciona intestinalis ciona0241, whole genome shotgun sequence.